rnacentral:rRNA from 1 species
UACGUAGGGGGCAAGCGUUGUCCGGAUUUACUGGGCGUAAAGGGCGCGUAGGCGGUCUGUUAAGUGUGAAGUGAAAUCUCCAGGGCUCAACCCGGAAAUUGCUUCGCAUACUGGCUGACUUGAGGGACGUAGAGGUGAAUAGAAUUCCCGGUGUAACGGUGACAUGUGAAAAUAUCGGGAGGAAUACCAAUGGCGAAGGCAGUUCACUGGACGUUUCCUGACGCUGAGGCGCGAAAGCUAGGGGAGCGAACAGG